rnacentral:lncRNA from 1 species
GUUGUGCAACAUCCCCCUGAUUUAUUUUAAUUUUUACUUUUAAUUUGUUCUAAUUAGUUAUACAUGACAGUAGAAUGCAUUUUGACACAUUGUACACAAAUGGAGCACAACUUCCCCCUGAUUUUUACCUCCUUAAUAGUUCUGAGAUCCACUCACUUCCCAGUGAUCAUUUGAGGAAGUCCAUGCAGCCACAUGCAAAGGCUGUCCUGGAGGAGAGUCCAGGUUGCUGGCCUACCCCCUGAGCUGGGCUCUCAGCAGACAACCAGUACCAAUUUGCCAGCCUUGUGAAUGAACUGUCUUGAAAGUAGAUACUCCAGCCCUAGUUGAGCUGCCCCAGCUCAUGUGGAAGAGAGAUGAGCUUUCUUCAGCAAACGCUGUCCACAUUACAAAAUUGUUGGUAAAAAAGUGAAUAUUGUUUUCAGCCACUAAAAUUUAGGGCCCUCAAUGUAUAACUGAAACAUAAUUGCAUACCAUAGAGGGAUCCUGCUAUAAUAGAAACCUAAGACACAUGACACUGACUUUGGGUUCAGGUAGAGGAUAGAAGCUAGAAGAACUUUGAGGGGUCUGUUAGUUAAGAACAUAAUUAACGGGUAGUGAGGUCAGGUGUGGUGCACAUGCCUGAAAUCUCAGAUACUGGGAAAGCUGAGGCAAGAGGCUAAGAAGUUCAAGGACAGCCUAGGAAAAUUAGUGAAACCCUGUUUCAGAAUAAAAAGAGCUGUAUAUAUAGGUCAGUGGUAGAGCACUUGCCUAGCAUGCACGAAGCCCUGUGUUCAAUUCCCAGUACUGAAAAAAAAAAAAUACAGUGAGAAUAUUGUUAUUGUAGGCUGGACCCAAUUUAUAUGUUAGAAGAAAAAUUAUCCACAUUAGUUUGCAGUCACAUAAAAGAUAGAAAAGAUACCU